rnacentral:tRNA from 1 species
CAUUAAGUGACUGAAAGUAAGUAAUGGUCUCUUAAACCAAUAUAUAGUAAAUAACAAGUACUCUUAAUGA